rnacentral:miRNA from 1 species
UGACUUCGACUGCCCGACAGCC